CUUCAUUCUCACACUCUCACAACUGGGCUAUUUCGACUAAUAUGUCAACGGAACUUCAGCAUCGAUGCAUGAAAUAUAAGGGUUUGACAUUAGAACACCGUUUGAGAUCCGAGAGGACCGUACCAUUUGGACAAAUGGCAGCGUAGGACAUCCGCAGCUCUUCUGUGUCUCCAAUGACCUCCAAUUCAAUCUCUGAUCGUAAUUCCUGCAAAAACCAACAAGAGCAGAAUGUCUUUCUCCAAGAAUGAAAUCAUCACACUCAACUCAGUCAUCAUUAAGCGGACUUUCCAGGUUUUUUUCAAGUCGAUUUCACUUUGCAGUGACCUGUAACGUGCGAAGCCUUCUGUCUUUAUCUACCUUAAUGGAUGAGUCAUCAUCCCAGGUGUACUGGGCUGUAAAAAAUAACCUGAGGAAAGACUGAUGGCUCACCUCAGCAUGAAGGAAAGACGCAGUUUGACAAAUGAACUGUCUGGGUGCUUAGAAGCUCUCUAGGGCAAGUGACUAUUAAUGGUAAUUAAAAAAAAAAAAAACUUAACCUCAUAAAGACCUGGCGUUCCAUACUUGGAUAUCACGUUUUAAGUUAUGUACAGUGUUAUGAUAUAUGAAUGUGGUGAUUCGAUAUGCUUUCACCAGGUAUCAAUACAUCUCUUUGUGUCACUGCUUAAAAAAAACAAUAGGUUGUCACCAAAAUGUUCCACUAUAAAAGUGUCUAUGUUAAGAAAGACACUAAUUUGUUUACAACAAUGUUGCAGUAACAUAUUGUUGCUGUAUUCAUUUACAGAAAUGUGUCAUUGAAAUAUUCUCAUAGUCUGUGAGGGAGACUAUAGGUAAUUGUUUUUCUCUUUAAUAAUUGUGCAAUAUUGAAUACAGUGAUUUCUUGACUCAUUAAGUAAUAAUUGUUGUAUCACUAUAUUGUUAGAUAAUCAUUAUCGUGACCUUUCUAUUGAUAGUCGUGCGGUAUAGUAUCGCGAAGUACAGAGGUUCCAACCCUAAUAAUCUAGGCCACAACAUUAGCAACUGGUGUACAGAAACUGCCUACAUCACUUAAAAUGUGAUUACGAGUGCUUAUGUGAUUAUGAGCCACAAUAAAACUAUAAGGAGUAUUUA